CCUUUCCCUCCCUCGAUCCAAACACGACUCUUCCAAUUCCGAUAUCUGACGCGAUCAUUUACUUUCGCCUCCCUUUUGCCACUUCGAUCGCAGCCCCUCAAUCCCCUCUCCGCCGAAAUCAAUGCUCCAAGGCCCGUCAAAUGCUCCACUGCUCCAAUCCUUCCCCAAGAGCUACAGGGCCCGAAACGCCUCGAUCCGGCCGGAGCCUCCCUUCCGCUGCGAUCGGGCGGCCUAAAGCUUGAAUUGGCGCCACCAAUCUUCUCAGAUACACGACCCCCACCCCCCGGAUUGUCCGCUGGUCAAGGGUUCCUGAAACGUUACAAUUGAGUUCUCAGGGGCAGUUAAUCGUUGACCAAGUGGUCCACCAGGAACCCGCAGGAGCGUCGACUUUUGGGAUGCGAUUCGAGGUAUGGAGCUCGUUUGAAUUAUAAAAAACCGGAUUUUGAUGGUUUCCGUGGAUGUACGAGAGUUCUUCGAGCAGAGCAAUUUCCUUCAGGUGGAAUGCAUAUCCCUGAGAAACUUCUGCUUUGUGUAUCUUUGUUGACAUUGAAAAACGUUGAUCCAAAGUUCUCAUGCUAACUAGGUACAAUGCAUCCGUAAGAAACUUUUUCUUGUAAUUCUUUGUUUUUCUCACUCUAUUUUUUUGUUUCAAAAAUCAUGUAUAAACUUACAUGUUAUUCAACCUUUGUAACUUACAAAGCCUAUGGUGUUAAGGUUGAAGAUAUGUUUCUUGUUGCUGAAACAAUGGUAUGAGACAAUGGGGGUAAAAAACUUUGUGGUGCUAACAUCAGUUUCUGGGUCAUUCAUUUUAUUAAAUGGUCAUAUUGGCUACAUCAGCUGUUGAAUGGCUACAGAUGAAAACAACAACCAAAACUAAAGACUUCUCAGAUCUUAAUUUCUGUGCUCAUAUCCAAGAUUCUAGAGUAAAGUUGUACGAAAAAGAGUUCACACCACUAAUGUGCGUAAGGAUGUCCGAGUCAAGUAUGUCUUCUUCCUUCACCGCCACCUGCAAAUAGAAACAACAAUAUGUUACAAGAAUUUUGGAAGAUGUGCUUUCUCCUAGCAGGAGCAACAUCUUGAAGUUAGCUUAGAUACCCAGGCUCAUUUAUAAAAUCAUGUUUCCUGUAGAUUCAAAUUUUGGAAGAUAUGUUUUCUCCUGGUGAAGUAGGAUCAACUUCUUGAAGGUAGCUUCGAUACGAGGCUCAUUUAUAAAAUUUUGUUUCCUGUAGCUUCAAAAUUUGGAAGAUAUGCUUUCUCCUAGUGAAGUAAGAGCAACUUCUUGAAGUAAGCUUAGAUACUGAGGCUCAUUUAUAAAAUCUUGUUUCCUGUGAAUCCAUGAUUUAAAUCAUGCUACAGCCUGUGAGUGAAUUCCGACUGGAGCCUUUUUAUGUAAGUGUUUGAUUCUUUUAUUCUGAUCAUAAGAAAAUUGAAUCUUCAAAAUGUAGCUUGAAUUUGUACAUUGAUUGUCUUUUAAGCUAUUUAACCUCAAUAACAUUGAUUGUAUUAGUUCUUUCUUCAUAUAUUUUACGUUUUUAUAUUCUGCAUGGUACUAUCAAGUUAGUGUUCAGAUUUCAUCAUGUUUUGAUCAUUUGUAUUGAAGACGAUAAAGUGAGGUGGGCUAUUCAUUUCUCGUGUUAACAAGUGCUAACAAAAACUGCUAGAAGUGAAGCAUGAGAGUGUGGAAGCAAAAAUUGUCUCUUAUGCUUCGGUAAAAAUGUAAUGCAAAAUAAUAUCGGAGUAAUUUUAUGGCUUAUGAUUUCAAAUUCUAUAUCAUUUUUGAAUUUCUAAAUUUUCCUACCAGCUAACCUCAAAAUCUUUCUACCUUUUAGCAGAUAAAUUCUAGUUUUGCAUGAACUCAAAAACUUCUGUUGCCUUGCUAGAUCCUCUUUGUUUUGUUAUGAAUGUACUUAUGUGACAGAUUUCUAAGCUAUGAACUGCAGUAUAUUAGACCUGAAGUCUGAACUCAUCUUGGAAGAAUGCAUCUUGCGUAACAAGCAACAACGGAAAAGAAGAGUGCUUACUUCUCCCUCAUCAUCAAAAUCAUUGUUACUGGAACCAGACUUUGCUGUCUCUCCAAGUUCAUCAUUCUUUGCAAACCGCCCACGGACUCUUGGUCUGCUGUCUGCUAGAGUUUUUCUACAAGCAUACUGCAGUUUCUCUCAGCUCUCUUCUUCAUGUAUCUGUCGAUCUUCUCCUUCCUCGCCUCCACUGACAGGCGCCCUACUUUGAAGCUGGAAUCAUCCAUUGCCGAUAUAUCAGUAGCUGCCAGAGGCAUUGGGCUGCAGCCACUUCCUGCCAUCGGCACCUUUACCCGGCAAAUGAGACUUUUAAUAGAAGGCCAAGAUAUAAGGUGCCAAAUUACUGUCAUGAUUUGACAAUUUGUACUUGGCGUGCUGAAUCUAUUUGUUGGUGAUGUGGUCAACAUAAAUAAUAGGCUUCGAUUCCCAAAUCUUGUGUAGAAUAAUGGUUUAACAGAUCAGGCAUCUGAAAACUUUU